rnacentral:rRNA from 1 species
GGGGGGGGGGACAACUGUUGGAAACCACUGCUAAUACCGCAUAAUGUCUACGGACCAAAGGGGGCUUCGGCUCUCCCCUUUAUAUUGCCCCAAGUGGGAUUAUCUAGGUGGUGAGGUAGUGGCUCACCAGGGCCACUAUCCCUAUGUGGUUUGAGAAGAUGAUCACCCACUGUGGGACUGACACACGGCCCACACUCCUACGGGAGGCAGCAGUGGAAAAUAUUGCACAGUGGGCGCACGCCUGAUGCACCCGUGCCGCGUGUGUGAAAAACGCCUUCGGGUUGUAAAGCUCUUUCACUCGAGAAGAAAGGUUAGUUGUUAAUACCCGCUAUGUGUGACGUUACUGACAAAAAAAGCCCCGGCUAUCUCCGUGCCAGCACCCGCGGUAAUACGGAGGGUGCGAGCGUUAAUCAAAAUCACUGGGCGUAAAGCGUACGCGCGCGGUUUGUUAAGCGAUAUGUGAAAGCCCCGGUCUCAAUGUGAACACUGUAUUUCACACUGGCAAACUAGAGUGUGAUAGAGGG